CCUACGGGGGGCUGCAGUGGGGAAUAUUGCACAAUGGGCGCAAGCCUGAUGCAGCCAUGCCGCGUGUGUGAAGAAGGCCUUCGGGUUGUAAAGCACUUUCAGCGGGGAGGAAGGCGGUGAGGUUAAUAACCUCAUCGAUUGACGUUACCCGCAGAAGAAGCACCGGCUAACUCCGUGCCAGCAGCCGCGGUAAUACGGAGGGUGCAAGCGUUAAUCGGAAUUACUGGGCGUAAAGCGCACGCAGGCGGUCUGUCAAGUCGGAUGUGAAAUCCCCGGGCUCAACCUGGGAACUGCAUUCGAAACUGGCAGGCUAGAGUCUUGUAGAGGGGGGUGGAAUUCCAGGUGUAGCGGUGAAAUGCGUAGAGAUCUGGAGGAAUACCGGUGGCGAAGGCGGCCCCCUGGACAAAGACUGACGCUCAGGUACGAAAGCGUGGGGAGCAAACAGGAUUAGAUACCCCGGUAGUC
rnacentral:rRNA from 1 species